GGACUUUUUUUCUUUCAAUAUUCAUAUUGAAGACUUUGAAGAUUAUCCAAUGAGAAUUUUAUAUGACCUUCAUUCAGAAGUUCAGACUCUAAAGGAUGAUGUUAAUAUUCUUCUUGAUAAAGCAAGAUUGGAAAAUCAAGAAGGCAUUGAUUUCAUAAAGGCAACAAAAGUACUAAUGGAAAAAAAUUCAAUGGAUAUUAUGAAAAUAAGAGAGCAUUUCCAGAAGUAUGGAUAUAGUCCACGUGUCAAGAAAAAUUCAGUACACAAGCAAGAAGCCAUUAACUCUCACCCAGAGUUGUCUAAUGGUGAAAAUUUUCAGAAGACUGAUGUGAAAGAUAAUCUGUCUGAUCCUCCUGUUGCAAGCAGUUGUAUUUCUGAGAAGUCUCCACGUAGUCCACAACUUUCAGACUUUGGACUUGAGCGGUACAUGGUAUCCCA
rnacentral:sRNA from 1 species